UACGGGGGGAGCAAGCGUUGUUCGGAUUUACUGGGCGUAAAGGGCGCGUAGGCGGCCAGCACAAGUCAGUUGUGAAAUCUCCGGGCUUAACUCGGAAAGGUCAACUGAUACUGUGCGGCUAGAGUGCAGAAGGGGCAACUGGAAUUCUCGGUGUAGCGGUGAAAUGCGUAGAUAUCAGGAGGAACACCGGUGGCGAAGGCGGGUCUCUGGGCCGUAACUGACGCUGAGGAGCGAAAGCAUGGGGGAGCGAAACAGG
rnacentral:rRNA from 1 species